GCAUCCAACGCGUUGGGAGCUCUCCCAUAUGGUCGACCUGCAGGCGGCCGCGAAUUCACUAGUGAUUCGUAUUACCGCGGCUGCUGGCACGGAGUUAGCCGGAGCUUAUUCUCCCGGUACUGUCAUUAUCAUCCCGGGUAAAAGAGCUUUACAACCCUAAGGCCUUCAUCACUCACGCGGCAUUGCUGGAUCAGGCUUUCGCCCAUUGUCCAAUAUUCCCCACUGCUGCCUCCCGUAGGAGUCUGGGCCGUGUCUCAGUCCCAGUGUGGCUGAUCAUCCUCUCAGACCAGCUAAGGAUCGUCGCCUUGGUGCGCCUUUACCACACCAACUAGCUAAUCCUACGCGGGCUCAUCCCUCGGCGAUAAAUCUUUGGACUUACGUCGUCAUCCGGUAUUAGCAGUCAUUUCUAACUGUUAUUCCGAACCAAGGGGCAGAUUCCCACGCGUUACGCACCCGUGCGCCACUAAGGCCGAAGCCUUCGUUCGACUUGCAUGUGUUAGGCAUGCCGCCAGCGUUCGUUCUGAGCCAUGAUCAAACUCUAAUCGAAUUCCCGCGGCCGCCAUGGCGGCCGGGAGCAUGCGACGUCGGGCCC
rnacentral:rRNA from 1 species